AAGGCAUGAUGUGGGCAAGCUCGCAUAAGUUCCUUGUAUCUCUCCCAAGCAUUGAAUAAAGAUUCUCCAUCAUUCUAACUGAAUCCGAUAAUCUGGUUCUUUAGGACUGU